rnacentral:rRNA from 1 species
GGGGUGCGGACAGUGUCUGGUGGGUAGUUUGACUGGGGCGGUCUCCUCCCAAAGCGUAACGGAGGAGCACGAAGGUUGGCUAAGCAUGGUCGGACAUCAUGCGGUUAGUGCAAAGGCAUAAGCCAGCUUGACUGCGAGAGUGACGGCUCGAGCAGGUACGAAAGUAGGUCUUAGUGAUCCGGUGGUUCUGAAUGGAAGGGCCAUCGCUCAACGGAUAAAAGGUACUCCGGGGAUAACAGGCUGAUACCGCCCAAGAGUUCAUAUCGACGGCGGUGUUUGGCACCUCGAUGUCGGCUCAUCACAUCCUGGGGCUGAAGUAGGUCCCAAGGGUAUGGCUGUUCGCCAUUUAAAGUGGUACGCGAGCUGGGUUUAGAACGUCGUGAGACAGUUCGGUCCCUAUCUGCCGUGGGCGUUGGAAGAUUGAAAGGGGCUGCUCCUAGUACGAGAGGACCGGAGUGGACGCACCGCUGGUGUUCGGGUUGUCAUGCCAAUGGCACUGCCCGGUAGCUAAGUGCGGAAGAGAUAACCGCUGAAAGCAUCUAAGCGGGAAACUUGCCUUGAGAUGAGUCUUCCCUGACUCUUUAAGGGUCCUAAAGGAACGUUUAAGACGAAGACGUUGAUAGGCUGGGUGUGUAAGCGUAGCGAUACGUUGAGCUAACCAGUACUAAUGAACCGUGAGGCUUAACCUGACAACACCGAAGGUGUUUUAG